AGAGUUUGAUCAUGGCUCAGGAUGAACGCUAGCGACAGGCUUAACACAUGCAAGUCGAGGGGCAACGGGACGUAGCAAUACGUUGCCGGCGACCGGCGGAUGGGUGAGUAACGCGUAUGCAACCUACCCACGACAGGGGGAUAGCCCGUUGAAAGACGGAUUAAUACCCCAUAAAACAGGGGUUCCGCAUGGGACUAUUUGUUAAAGGGUUCUCCGCGAGGGGGACAUCGGUUGUGGAUGGGCAUGCGUUCCAUUAGGCAGUUGGUGAGGUAACGGCUCACCAAACCGACGAUGGAUAGGGGAACCGAGAGGUUGGUCCCCCACACUGGUACUGAGAUACGGACCAGACUCCUACGGGAGGCAGCAGUGAGGAAUUUUGGUCAAUGGACGGAAGUCUGAACCAGCCAAGUCGCGUGAAGGAAGGCGGCCCUAAGGGUUGUAAACUUCUUUUGUAAGGGAAUAAAGUGCGUUACGUGUAGUGCAUUGCAAGUACCUUACGAAUAAGGAUCGGCUAACUCCGUGCCAGCAGCCGCGGUAAUACGGAGGAUCCGAGCGUUAUCCGGAUUUAUUGGGUUUAAAGGGUGCGCAGGCGGGGGAUUAGGUCGGCGGUGAAAUAUCAGGGCUCAACCUUGAGAGUGCCGUCGAAACCGGUUUUCUUGAGUGCGGAUGAAGUAGGCGGAAUUUGUGGUGUAGCGGUGAAAUGCGUAGAUAUCACAAAGAACACCGAUUGCGGAGGCAGCUUACUAAACCGCAACUGACGCUCAUGCACGAAGGCGUGGGGAUCAAACAGGAUUAGAUACCCUGGUAGUCCACGCAGUAAACGAUGAUUACUAGCUGUUUGCGAUACAAUGUAAGCGGCUGAGCGAAAGCGUUAAGUAAUCCACCUGGGGAGUACGUUCGCAAGAAUGAAACUCAAAUGAAUUGACGG
rnacentral:rRNA from 1 species